UUGUGAUGUGCUAAAGUUUUGGGUUGUUGUUUUUAAGUGUAAAGAAAAAUUGGGUCAUGACCAAUUUGUAAGCGUGUAUGUGACAUGAAAGAUGUUUGAAUCCGUAUCACCAGUGUACAGUGACUAGUGCGGAAUUAUGCUACAUUUCAAAGAAACUAAUCUUGAAAUAGUGUUUAAUGCUUACUCAAAAGCCAAGUACAUCAGAACCUGUUACAUAUUGAUUUAAAAAAAUAGUCACAACCACCAUCAUUCAUCACCAUCACCACACCACUAGCAGUGUACUAAAGAUGUGAAAGCUUCACUUUGGAAUUCCUGCUAUUCAAAGCUGUUCUUGAAACAUGCUUUACAAGCCCAGCACUGCAGUAGUCAGGAAAAAAAGAAAGAAAGAAAGAUGAGCUCACCUUUUUCACUUUUGUCACUACUGAACAUGCAAACCGUUUAAAGCUAUAUUCUUCUUUGAUCGGCAACAUUUCCUAAAUGUUUUAUGUUUACCAUUUUCAGGGGGAAAAGAUGAAGUGCUUUGAGCAACUGAGUAAACAUUUGCGUUUGAGAAAAUUAUAGGCCUUGCUAAACUGAAAAUUGAAUUCCUUUGAUCAGCUAAAUCCACACACCAGCUGAGAAGCGGUGUUGUUUCCUUAAAGGGAUUCCUCUUUUAUGAUCGUUAUUCUAAAGAGGGAGACUACAUUGUUGGAAAGGGACAACCACAUUAUGGCUACAGCCCUUACACCACUGAGCUCCUAGGACCACAGCCGUCCCCAACUAUGGAUGGUAAUGGAUAGUGACUUUCCUCCAGCAAAGCCACACCACUGUCAAUUAAUAUACUUCUGUCAACCAUCAGCUCUAGGGUGCAAGUUGGCUCUAUUUUUUCUUUGUUUUAAUGCUAUUUACCUCAUGCACCAAAGGCUACAGAUAACUGCAAGAGACAUUCAGAGUCCUGAUCAUAAUGGACCCAGUUCCUCACCAAAAUUCUUCCAAGAUGCAGUGCAAAUUAAUUCUUUUUUAAUGGUAUUCUAAAGCAGACAACAUGGUAUUCUCAAAACUUUGUUAUGAAUAUCAGAAGCUACAUAAAAGCAUGUUUCUUUCUCAUGAA